GUGAAUCAUCGAAUUUUUGAACGCAAAUUGCACUCUCCUCGGAGAGUAUGCCUGUUUGAGGGUCAGCCUAUAAAAUUCGACAUCGUUGCUGUUUCGCGGUGGCGUUCUUCGGUAAUUCGGUCAUCUUAAACCCCCUUUAUUUAAGUGACUUAAAAUUUUCUUUUGUUUCCAGCACCGCUCCUAAG
rnacentral:misc_RNA from 1 species